GCUCUAACUAAAGGAGUGCUUGAACACUGAUUAUUUAGGAAAUCCAGAUUAGAGCAGCGAAACAAAAUCCAAUAUUUAGUGAAUGUACAAUGUUAGCGUAGAACAACAAGGAAAUAGCUAAAAAUCUGUUUCACCAGUAGAGAUAAAAUAUAAUGCUAAAUAAAUAUAAUGCUAAUGUUAAAAGGUUUCAGAUAAAAUACAAAAAAUAUUUGAAAUAAAAAUGCAAAACCUAUAUAUAGAUUAUCU